rnacentral:rRNA from 1 species
AUGGUCUCCCGGCUCCACCAGCGCAGCGCGUCCUCCCGCCGGUCCACCGACAUCUCCGUGAACCGCUGCACGAACUGCGAGCUCCACGACAGGCACCGGGCGCCGCCCAGCGCGGGCAUCCCCAGUCGCGUGCCCAGCAGCCACAACACCAUCCGCACCAGCGUCAGCGCCUCCCGGAGACACAUUGCCGACAUCAGCUGCGCCACCUGA